UACGUAGGGGGCUAGCGUUGUCCGGAAUCAUUGGGCGUAAAGCGCGUGUAGGCGGCCCGGUAAGUCCGCUGUGAAAGUCGGGGGCUCAACCCUCGGAUGCCGGUGGAUACUGUCGGGCUCGAGUACGGAAGAGGCGGGUGGAAUUCCUGGUGUAGCGGUGGAAUGCGCAGAUAUCAGGAAGAACACCCGUGGCGAAGGCGGCUCUCUGGGACGGUACUGACGCUGAGACGCGAAAGCGUGGGGAGCGAACAGG
rnacentral:rRNA from 1 species